AGCGAACGCUGGUGGCAGGCCUAACACAUGCAAGUCGAACGAACUCUUCGGAGUUAGUGGCGGACGGGUGAGUAACACGUGGGAACGUGCCUUUUGGUUCGGAAUAACUCAGGGAAACUUGUGCUAAUACCGAAUGUGCCCUUCGGGGGAAAGAUUUAUCGCCAUUAGAGCGGCCCGCGUCUGAUUAGCUAGUUGGUGAGGUAACGGCUCACCAAGGCGACGAUCAGUAGCUGGUCUGAGAGGAUGACCAGCCACACUGGGACUGAGACACGGCCCAGACUCCUACGGGAGGCAGCAGUGGGGAAUCUUGCGCAAUGGGCGAAAGCCUGACGCAGCCAUGCCGCGUGAAUGAUGAAGGUCUUAGGAUUGUAAAAUUCUUUCACCGGGGACGAUAAUGACGGUACCCGGAGAAGAAGCCCCGGCUAACUUCGU
rnacentral:rRNA from 1 species